rnacentral:rRNA from 1 species
CUGCGGAGGGAUCAUUACCGAGUUUACAACUCCCAAACCCAAUGUGAACGUUACCAAACUGUUGCCUCGGCGGGAUCUCUGCCCCGGGUGCGUCGCAGCCCCGGACCAAGGCGCCCGCCGGAGGACCAACCAAAACUCUUAUUGUAUACCCCCUCGCGGGUUUUUUACUAUCUGAGCCAUCUCGGCGCCCCUCGUGGGCGUUUCGAAAAUGAAUCAAAACUUUCAACAACGGAUCUCUUGGUUCUGGCAUCGAUGAAGAACGCAGCGAAAUGCGAUAAGUAAUGUGAAUUGCAGAAUUCAGUGAAUCAUCGAAUCUUUGAACGCACAUUGCGCCCGCCAGUAUUCUGGCGGGCAUGCCUGUCCGAGCGUCAUUUCAACCCUCGAACCCCUCCGGGGGGUCGGCGUUGGGGAUCGGCCCUUUACGGGGCCGGCCCCGAAAUACAGUGGCGGUCUCGCCGCAGCCUCUCCUGCGCAGUAGUUUGCACACUCGCAUCGGGAGCGCGGCGCGUCCACAGCCGUUAAACACCCCAAA